rnacentral:misc_RNA from 1 species
UAUUAUUAUUUUUUUUUUCUUUUUAUGAAAGGCAGCAUUGAGAUAAAGGAACCAACAAGGAUCCAAAUAACAAAUAAAAGAGAAGGUCCCUAAGCAUCUUAACAUAUUCUGGCAAAAAACCAUCAGGGUCCGAAAGGCCCACAGCCUGUAAACUUAAAGGUAGAGUCCAUGGCUUACAAAAAUGGGGUCCUAAUAAGCUGCUCAAACCAAACCAAGAGAAAGGUCCAAUCAAGCAUAACCCCAGCAGCUUGAGAAACAUCAAACAAGAUAAGGUCACCUAACAAAUAGCGCCUCCUUUACUAAAAACCGGUAUUGAGGAAGAUGAAGACCACGGGAAGCAUAAAAGGAGCCAUCCAUGGUAGAGCCACCAUUAAUGGAAGAGCCACCCCCAUUAUAACGACCCCAGAAAAACGAGCAAAUAAGGACCCAUUAUUGUAAACUCCAAUAAAGUAGAACCAUGAAAAAGUCGAACGACCUGAAAGGCUUGUUAAAGCUCCCUCAUUCUCAAUCUCUUAUAGCCUAGGAAAUCACCGCAUGGCUCCGAAGAUAUCCUUGAGAAUACCAAACCAUUAGACUUCGAUGAUAAUGUUAAGAUCCACUUGCAAACAACACACGGAAUAUAAAAGAAAACUAUAAAUAGAGCAGCAACCAAAUAGCCUUUAAAAUUAUCCUUAAACCACAAAAAUCUAGUUACGCUCCAAAACCAAAAACUAUUCACAUCCCGAUCCAAUAAUGGGGAGGGAACCCAAAUCGGGUCGAGGAAGAAGGGUGACCUUCCCCUGUCUGGAGGGGCAGAUAAAGGCCUACCAGCGGCAGAAAUAAGGGCUUUACCUAAAAAAGAAAAGAAGAAAAAUUGAGAGAAAAUUUCUCUCUCUAAAAGGUAGAGGGAGAUGGAAG